UACAGAGGGGGCGAGCGUUGUUCGGAAUUACUGGGCGUAAAGGGUGCGCAGGCGGCCAAGUGUGUUAGGCGUGAAAGCCCGGGGCUUAACCCCGGAAUUGCACCUAAAACUACAUGGCUAGAGCAUUGGAGAGGGUAGCGGAAUUCACGGUGUAGCAGUGAAAUGCGUAGAUAUCGUGAGGAACACCAGAGGCGAAGGCGGCUACCUGGACAAUUGCUGACGCUCAGGCACGAAAGCGUGGGGAGCAAAAGGG
rnacentral:rRNA from 1 species